AUGAAGCCCUUCGGGGUGGAUUAGUGGCGAACGGGUGAGUAACACGUGGGCAAUCUGCCCUGCACUCUGGGACAAGCCCUGGAAACGGGGUCUAAUACCGGAUAUGACCGUCCAUCGCAUGGUGGAUGGUGUAAAGCUCCGGCGGUGCAGGAUGAGCCCGCGGCCUAUCAGCUAGUUGGUGAGGUAGUGGCUCACCAAGGCGACGACGGGUAGCCGGCCUGAGAGGGCGACCGGCCACACUGGGACUGAGACACGGCCCAGACUCCUACGGGAGGCAGCAGUGGGGAAUAUUGCACAAUGGGCGAAAGCCUGAUGCAGCGACGCCGCGUGAGGGAUGACGGCCUUCGGGUUGUAAACCUCUUUCAGCAGGGAAGAAGCGAAAGUGACGGUACCUGCAGAAGAAGCGCCGGCUAACUACGUGCCAGCAGCCGCGGUAAUACGUAGGGCGCAAGCGUUGUCCGGAAUUAUUGGGCGUAAAGAGCUCGUAGGCGGCUUGUCACGUCGGUUGUGAAAGCCCGGGGCUUAACCCCGGGUCUGCAGUCGAUACGGGCAGGCUAGAGUUCGGUAGGGGAGAUCGGAAUUCCUGGUGUAGCGGUGAAAUGCGCAGAUAUCAGGAGGAACACCGGUGGCGAAGGCGGAUCUCUGGGCCGAUACUGACGCUGAGGAGCGAAAGCGUGGGGAGCGAACAGGAUUAGAUACCCUGGUAGUCCACGCCGUAAACGGUGGGCACUAGGUGUGGGCAACAUUCCACGUUGUCCGUGCCGCAGCUAACGCAUUAAGUGCCCCGCCUGGGGAGUACGGCCGCAAGGCUAAAACUCACAGGAAUUGACGGGGGCCCGCACAAGCGGCGGAGCAUGUGGCUUAAUUCGACGCAACGCGAAGAACCUUACCAAGGCUUGACAUACACCGG
rnacentral:rRNA from 1 species